UACAGAGGGUGCGAGCGUUAAUCGGAAUUACUGGGCGUAAAGGGUGCGUAGGUGGCAAGGUAAGUUUGAUGUGAAAGCUCAGGGCUUAACCCUGAAAUGGCAUUGAAUACUACUGUGCUGGAGGUUUGGAGGGGGGACUGGAAUUCUUGGUGUAGCAGUGAAAUGCGUAGAUAUCAAGAGGAACACCAGUGGCGAAGGCGAGUCCCUGGACAACACCUGACACUGAGGCACGAAAGCUAGGGGAGCAAACAGG
rnacentral:rRNA from 1 species